UGUGUUUUGAGGUUGGGAGGAGAAAUCUCAUGGGAAGUCAACGCAAGAAUAUUUUCUGCAUUCCUCAUUCUAUCAUGAGCACGGUACUCUUCCAUCUUUCUACAAGG
ensembl:misc_RNA predicted gene, 27366